UCUGUGCACAGAUCGGGACCCAUAUGAGACAGCGGGGCGCGGUCUGCGUGAUGGUGCUGCCUCGUGAGAUCCAUGUACGGCGGUACUUCUUCUGGUGCGGGGAUGUGCAGUGGCUCGGAGACAGAUGCUGCAGGCGGCGAACAGAGGAGGGAAGCGUCGGUCACGGUCGGUGAGUAGAUGGUAUCCCUCUAUACUGAAGAAGAUUGGAUUUUGAUGUAUCCAAGCAAUACUCCUCGCAGGCCGGAAGAGGAGAUGCAGGAGAGCGCAUGAAGGUGGGUGGCAGCGCGGAGAGUGGUGGCGACGCGAGCGCCGCCUUGAGGAGCUCUUCCACAGACGGCGGGGCUUGAUGAGGAUGGGUGGCCGAAUCGGAGCAGACCGCCAUCUCCUUCCUCCUGCAUCUUCUCAGCUUCUAACACCGAUGGGGGAGAGAGGCCACCGCCUCUGCUGCACGGCUUCGAGCUCUGGCGUUGGCUGUGGAGAUCAACAGCGAGAAAGGAGGAGCAGAGCCGCCUCCAUCUUCUUUUUCCUUGCUCAUAGGAUGUCGAUGGUGAGGACGGCUUGACUUAAUUCGCCCGCCAAACUGAGGUGGACCUGCAAGCAUGAGCUGUUGCUGCUGAUUCGUACGUGAUGUACAUCCUAGGAUGAGACUGACUCUACAUAGACCUGCAAGAUAUAGU